CCAGCCCCAGGGGGGCGGGCUGGAGGGAGGGGGCGGGCGCCGGGUGCGGGCCCGGGGUCCGCCGGGGCCAUGGCGCGCCAGGGAGGGGGCUGCUGCGCCGGUUCACCUGCCGCAGAGGGGGCGGCCAGCGCCGCUUCACCUGCAGGAGCGGGAGGCGACGGAGGCGAGGCAGAGGCGGCGGCGCGCUCGGCGGCGCCUCCGGGUCCUAGAACCGCAUGCUCCCGCUGGCUCGGAGCCGGGGGACUGGCGGGGUCUGGGUGAAGGGGGCCACGGCCUGGGGGCAGGAGGGUCAGACUUAGCAAUCGGGGGUUAUCAACAACUGCUAGCGCGGCUUGAAGACCCCUGACGGUGCAGCGUUGGGGCGCAAGGGCUGCGUCCGCCUCUUGGGUUCCCGACCGAGAAGGUGGGAACCCCCUUCCAGGCCCCCCACCCCUUGUUUCUCUCCUCUGUUUAGCCCAGAGCCGAGCUGAGGACCGGAGGGAACCAUCUGCAAAUGAGAACCCCAAAGCAGUGCGGAGGGCGCAGAUCCAGGCAAGCGGAGACCCCGUCCCACCCUGGACCAACUCUGCACCGGUGCUGGCAUUCCCAGUGGUUUUAGAAUGGGGACGCCCAUGGAAAAAGGCAGGCUGCGAGAAUCUGGGGACCACCAGGGCGGUCUCGAGGGGAAGAAGCAGGGGUUGGGGAACGGAGGAUUAAAGCCAGCAUCCAGGCUGGGAAAGGAGCAGGCACCGCAGAGGGGGAAAAAAUCUCCUUGACGCUGUCACCUCCAGGGACCUAGGGUGGCCUCUCGACUUGGAGAAUAACAAUCGCUGAUGCCUGGCAAUUACAGCAAUACUUCCAGAGGUCUUCCUUCAUUCAUCCUGACAAUGACCAGGAAAGGUAGGUAUUGAUAUCCUCAUUUUAGAGAUGGGGAAACUGAGGCUCAGAGUGGUUAAGUGACUUGGGCAAGGGCACACGGCUAAUAAAGGGCAGAAACAGAUCUCCUCUCUGUCUACCUCCAAAAUCUACACUGCCUUGGAGCUGUUGUCCUGGCCUGCCUCCCCCCCACCCCCAGGUCCCUCUCAUCCAGGGCCGACCAGAAGGAUGACAGAGUAUUGCGGCGUGUAGAACCCCAGGUCUGGGCACAGUCUCUAACCUGAAUUUGAGGCCCUUCUCGUUCAAUUGCUCCUCUCUCCCCCAUUUAAUUUGUGGGGAUCCCCAAUUGCCCUUCCCUGCACUACCAAGGCACCAAGGAGGGAGGGUCUCCUAAAUGAGCCCUGGAUUUUCCGUAGGCCAGGCCAGGGACCAUAAGUGCCCCCUUCCCCCGUAGCUUCCUCUUUCUCCCGCCCUUCUUCUCAAAUUCAGAACCACUAACAGGAGUUUAAGCAGGAGCUGGGAAGUUUAUCCAAUUUUAAGGAAGGCCCUGGGAUGAGCCAGCCCUUCCCCUAGACUGACCUGAUUUAAGCUUUUCUUCUGCCAAGGUCACCAGCACCACUGGUGGGUGAGGGAUGUAGUCAUUUAUUUCAUGUCCCAGCCAGGGGCCCAUAAGGUAAGACAAAGAAGGAUUUUCCUCAGGUGCACUAAGAAGUGGUCCGUUCCCUGCCCGCCAUCCUCCUCUCCAACCUGGGACAGACUAGUCUUGCCCUUGGGUUCUUGUCCUUGAGCUUAGCUAGGACCGCUCUCUCUCUUCUUUCUUUUUAAAGAAUUUAGUCCCCGAUCCCCUCAACGGCUGUCUCUUUCCAUUUAACAACAAACCUUUACUUAGCACCAGCUGUGUGCCCAGCACUGUGCUCAUUCCUGGAGAUUCUGUGGCAGAUGAAAAGGUCCCUGUCCUUGGGCCGCUCCUAGCCUACCACGGGGCAGACUCUGAACACAUGUGGGAGAGUGGCUGCUGCCAGUCAGCCUGUGCAGCCAUGGCUUCCUGCUUCCUCUUGCCCAGAACUACUCCUUUGAACAGGAGCCUCCGGGAUUUCGAGAUCUGGGGUCGAAGGCCAGCAUUCUGAGGGCAGCCCUCACUCAGCUCUCUUGCAUCCCAGGGAUGGAGCUCAUCGUCACUGAACUGCCUACAUACAGACCAGAAAUAAACUGAGUGUUCAGCUAUAAGGGAUUGGCUAAACCAGCAAUCCAACCAAUAGAACUUUCUGCAAUAAUGGAAAUGUUCUCCAUCUGUGCCAUCCAAUAUGGUAGCCCCUAGCCACAUUGUAGCUACUGAACACUUGAAAUGUGGCUAGUACAGCUGGGGAAACGAGUUUCAAAUUUUACUUAAUUGUUAUGAAGUUCAGUGUAAAUAGCCAUAUGUGGCUACUAUAUUGGACAGUGGAGGGUUAAAUGAACUAUGGUAUAUCCCCACAAUGGAAAACUAUGUGGCUGUUAAAAAAAAUGAGGAUGCCAGGUACUGAUGUGGAAAGAUCGCCAGGGUAUAUUUUGAAGCAAAAAUAUGGUGCAGAACAAUAUGUAUAGUACAUAAUUUUGUGUAUGAGAAAGGGAGGUGGAAACAAGAAUAAAUGUCUGUAUUUGCUUGAA